rnacentral:lncRNA from 1 species
ACAGAAGCUGAUACAGGUGAUCAGAGACUCAUACCAAAGCCCUUGUUCAAAGGUUGCAUGGUGUGCUUAACAUUUGAAGGAAAAAGAGAUUCAUAGCAGGAAUGCUUCAAACUUGAACAAAUUAUAUGACAUCCAAAGGCUGUGGUAACAUAUUAAAAUAUUUAAUGCCAG